UGAGGGGGCGCCGUGGCGGGGCUGGUGCUGCAGCCGCGCUUGUCUGAUCGGGCCCGGCGGUUUCCCGGCGGUCCUCCGCACCGCGUCUCACCGCCGCCCCGGGGCGGGCUGUCGCGGCGAGUGGAUGUCCAGCGUCUGCCUUUCGCCGCCGCCGCCUGGCGCCUAGCGGGCACCGCCAGGUCAGAGACCCGCGGACGCCAUGGGCUGCUGCAGCUCCACCGCGCAGAGCUCUAAGCGAGAGUGGAAACCUCUAGAGGACCACAGCUGCACGGAUGUUCCAUGGCUGCUCUUGUUCAUCCUCUUCUGCAUAGGAAUGGGUUUUAUCUGCGGCUUUUCAAUAGCUACAGGAGCAGCUGCAAGACUGCUUUCAGGAUAUGACAGUUACGGAAAUAUUUGUGGACAAAAAAAUAUCAAGGUGGAGGGAAUAGUCAACAGUGGUCUGGACCUCACACACAAGAAAUAUGUGUUCUUCUUGGAUCCGUGCAACAUUGAUAUAGUACAUCAGAGGAUCAAGUCUCUUGCUUUGUGUGUAUCAGCUUGCCCAAGGAAAGAACUAAAAACUCUGGCUGAUAUCCAGAAAUUUGCAGAAACGAAUGGAUCCACUCUGUGUAGCUAUGAACUAACACCUUCAGAAUACACCACAGACCCAAGAGCUGCCAAGUUGUGUCCUAAAUACCCUGUUCCAGAGAGUGCACCUAUUCCAUUCUUCCAUCGCUGUGCUCCUGUGAACAUUUCCUGCUAUGCCAAGUUUGCAGAGGCCCUGAUCACCUUUGUCAGUGACAGUAGUGUCUUACACAGGCUGAUUAGUGGAGUUAUGACCAGCAAAGAGAUUAUAAUGGGACUUUGCUUGUUAUCACUAGUGCUGUCCAUGAUUCUGAUGGUUAUAAUCAGGUACAUUUCAAGAGUACUUGUCUGGAUUUUAACAAUUCUUGUCAUUCUGGGAUCACUUGGUGGUACAGGAGUCCUGUGGUGGCUGUAUGCAAAGCAACGAGUAUCUGUUGGUGUCGUUGAGACUCAAAUAGCCAAAGACAAUCUUCAGGCUCUCCUGGUCUAUGCCAUUUCAGCCACAGUCUUCACGGUUAUCCUGUUCUUAAUCAUGUUAAUUAUGCGCAAACGAGUAGCUCUCACCAUUGCGUUGUUCCACGUGGCUGGCAAGGUCUUCAUCCACCUGCCGCUGCUAGUCUUCCAGCCCUUUUGGACAUUCUUUGUGCUUGUCCUCUUCUGGGCAUACUGGAUCACAGUGCUGCUUUUUCUUGGUACUACAGGUAGUCCUGUCCCAAAUGAAGAAGGAUUUGUUGAAUUUCGGAUGGUAGGCCCUUUGAAAUACAUGUGGUGGUACCAUGUAGUAGGACUCAUCUGGAUCAGCGAGUUUAUCUUAGCCUGUCAGCAGAUGACAGUAGCAGGGGCUGUUGUGACAUACUAUUUUACAAGGGAGAAAAAGAAUUUGCCAUUUACUCCUAUUCUGGCAUCUGUUAAUCGCCUCGUUUGUUACCACCUGGGAACGGUAGCAAAGGGGUCUUUCAUUAUCACACUAGUAAAGAUACCACGAAUGAUUCUUAUGUAUAUUCAUUCACAGUUAAAAGGAAAGGAAAAUGCUUGUGCUCGUUGUAUGCUUAAAGCCUGCAUCUGCUGCCUUUGGUGUCUAGAAAAGUGCCUGACCUACUUAAAUCAGAAUGCAUAUACAGCCACAGCUAUCAACAGCACCAACUUCUGCACCUCAGCAAAGGAUGCCUUUGUUAUUCUGGUGGAAAAUGCUUUGCGAGUGGCUGCCAUAAACACAGUUGGGGAUUUUAUGCUGUUUCUAGGAAAGGUCCUGAUUGUUUGCAGUACAGGUUUGGCUGGGAUUAUGUUGCUGAAUUACCAACGAGAUUACACCAUCUGGGUGCUGCCACUCAUCAUUGUCUGCCUCUUUGCAUUCCUGGUUGCUCACUGCUUCCUUUCCAUUUAUGAAAUGGUUGUUGAUGUCCUUUUCUUAUGUUUUGCCAUCGAUACAAAAUACAAUGAUGGGAGCCCUGGGAGGGAAUUCUACAUGGAUAAAGUUCUCAUGGAGUUUGUGGAGAAUAGUAGGAAAUCUAUGAAAGAAGCUGGCCGAGGAGGUGGAGCUGAGGGCAGAGAGCUGAAACCAAUGCCUGUUUUACUUAUGGUGUGGCUGUUAGGAAGGCGUUGCAUGUCUGAGUAGCCUGGAAUAAAGAACAGCUGUACAUGGUACAGAUAACAGAUAGGAGGAUGAGUUUGGAAGGUGGAGAACUGAGAGCAUAUGAUGGAGAGCCAGGCUGGGCAAGGCCUCUGGAGCAAGUUCAUCUUGAAACUAGCCAGCCAUAUUGGAACCCAUUGACAUUCCAAAACAGUAUAUAUAUAUAUAUACAUAUAUACAUAUAUAUAUAUUAAAAAAAUAUAUAUAAAUAAACAGCCAAAAUCAGAGAAAAGGAACAGGGAUUUAAUACUUUUUUUAACAAUUAUUUUUGUGAAACAUGUACUCUUUUCAUACGGGUGGCUUUUACAAGCAGCUUUAUCAUUGUUCCAUUUUUUUUAAUUAUUCAUUGUGGUCAUGGAAAUGUUGAUUCUUACCUGCUUGGUAUUUUACAGUCUGGAGGAAGUGUCGUUGUAAAGAUAAUCUGAGGUGGUGAAUGAGUUCAAAGAUGGAUUUCCCAUGACACUGAUGAUCUGUUUAGAGUUUCACUUGUUUAGUUCGUUUAAGUUCACAUUAAAUUCAUGGCAGUGACAUGUGAGGAAAACUUUUGAAUCAAGAAAUGUCUCAAAUUUAAUUUUUCCAGGAGUGAUUUCAGUGAGAGUUCAUUCAGUUUGACUGGGUUUGUAAGCAGUCAUUUUACCUUGUAGCCCUACCAGGGCACAGUUUUGUUUAUCGGUAUGAGAUAUCACAAUAACCAACUCCUCAGGUAUUCAGAAGUGUGGGAGCCCUUGCAUCUGCUGUUAAAGAGAAGCUAAAAAAUGGGGACAGAUAAUUUUUAUAUGCAAUUAGCUUCCUGGUUUACCCACUUAGCGCUCAUACGCAUUGCCCUCUAUCCUCCCUUUUGAGUUCAGUAGCCUCAUUCACACUUCAGCAGUGCUUCUUCGAAGGGUGUGGAUUCUCCAUGUGAGCAAUUGGAAUAACAAGUCAUUAAAGCUCAGUCUUAGCCAUACUCAUGAUUAAUUCAUAACUAAAUACAAAGAUGCUGAGGGUGGGAAGAGAAACUAACCGCACUACUGUAUGCUUCAUUUCAUUUAAUGCCUUGAAAGUGGAAGGGACCAUUCCUCACCUCUUGCUUCAUCCAUAUUUGUGUGUACUGCAGUGUGUGGCUAGAACAGGAAAGGGCAGAGAAGCAUUUAUUUGGAAGUGUAACUGCCAGGAGAGUUAUAUAAACUUAUCAAUUAAUGAGAAGAGAACAUGCUUUUUAAAAUUAUUAUUAUUAUUAUUGUUAGAUACUUAUAUUUCUUUUCUGUCUGGAAGUUCACCAGAUAUGAAUGCUAAUACUCAGUUGUUCAGCAUAUUGUAAUGGUAAUUGCUUAGGAGAGUAUUUGCUAAGAAUUCAUGAUCUGUCUAUGCUAUAUACUCCUUUUGUUACAAUUUUUUUAAAGAAGCUAUUUUUGUUAAUGUAAAGUUAAUAUUUCAGAGCAGACUUUUUAAACUUAUUGCACUAAAUACAAGCUCUGUACAAAUAAAUAAUGCCUCAAUGGUUCUAUCACUCCAUUCAAGAACACCUUUUGAAAGAGAAAAGCCCUUCUACAAAGCUUUGUGAUGGAGUGGAAGAGGUACAUCCAGGUGGAAACUUGCACAACUGAUGUUAUCAAGGUCUAGUAAGUAAGCGGUUAUCUGUGCUUCCUUUCAGAGGAUCAGACUUCUAAACUGCUGUUGAAGGUUUAAAAAAAUACAUAGUAUCAUGUAGCUAACCAGUGCUCUGACCUUUUUGCAGCAGUGAAGUACUUCGCUUCUGCUUCUAGAAGUCAUCUGAUAAAUAUGUUUAGUUUCCUUUUAGUAAGCCAAUUAAAAGGAUUUACUCUUUUCAUGUCACCGAGUCCAAACUCUAUGGAAGGUAUGAAAGUAAAGAUACAUUUAGAAACGAUAGCUGAUAGGGAGUCAGGGAGACAGAAUUAUACAGUCCUGCAAGCACUUAGACGCUCAUGCCAGUGAGCCAUAUCAGUAAGUAAUUGGUAUGGCACUAAAUGCGUCCAUGUAGGAGAUAACUGGACUGGAGCUUCCACCUCGGGAGUAAAACUGGAGCACUGGUGAGGCCUCUCAGUGAAAUUUAGAGGUCAAACUGUCUAGAAGAAGCACUGGAGCAGCCUUUAGUUGGUGGAGAGGAGGCAUUCCUACUCUUCCAGUGUCUAAGACGGCAGUGGCACCGAACGAUGAUAUUCAUGUAGAUCAGUGGGGUUUAGCAACAGAAACUUAAAACUGGCCGAGAUUAACUCUAUAAACUGGACUGCAAGGCUAAGAGACUUACCAUUAUAUCCAGCUGCUUUCAGAGAAACUUAAUUUCCAUCUUGUGAGGAAGUUAUUGGAGGUGCUUUGGAAGCCUUGCAUUCUGGUCAUUUUGACAACAAAUUUCUGCCAUGACCAGUUCCACAAGUUUGUGUUCUCUGGUGUUUGGAAGUCCUGAGUGGGGGCUUUUCUCUGUAAUUGCAACUAGGACUGCAGUUGGAAACAAAUUUUGUAUUUUUGUAUGACUUGACUGUGCACCAUUUUUAUAGCAGUUUAUCCUGUUUUAAAAAUAAAUUUGUUUUACUUACAUGGUGUUUAGAAGAUACAGGCAACACUUUUCUAUGGGUAGUUGUAAUGUUUAAGUGAGAAAACUAUAUCAUUACAAAGUUCUUAAUAAAAAUUGUGUGCACCAUACUUGAGUGUAUAUCUAGCAUGCAGAGUUUCUCGGUCAUGCCCAAAAGGCAUUCUGUCUACACACAGGCUUUCCAGUGCCCCUUUAAAGCUUUUGAAUGUCCUUUGAAGUUCAUUUACAACCAGACUACAAACUGCCCUCUUCCAGCACUGUCUUGUGCAAGGAGAUAAGGACAAGACUGAAUUCUGAAGAGACAACUUUUCAGGACAGAUUUAGACUCUGUUUUCCUUCCCCAGUGGGGAUAGUGGAGUAGGGAAAUGCUUGAUGUGUAAAUCCCUAGUUGGCAGUAGAGGUGCUGGGGUCUGCCAGUUGUGAUGGAUUAACUAACUUCUAUUUUGCCAGUUGGCUGUUAAAGCCAAUGCUUUGUGGGAAGCAGUCUAGACUAACUAGAGAGUGAUGCUGCACUGGGAAUAAUGCUGCAGAAGAGACAGCUGAAACAGAGAAUUCAUCUGCUUGGAAAGUCCACUGAGCCAAGUAGUACUUGAGGACUGGAGAUUCAGGCUGGACAAUGUGGAUUUAAAAACCAAGCCAAUGGGAUUACUGGUUCCCAGCUUUUGGUUUCUGUAGGCUGUCUGUCAUAGCCCCUAACCAGCUAGGUUUCAAAGGAAGAAAUCAUGCCAUUCAAUAAAUGGUUUCCUUUUUUUCCCCCACUGUAUUACUCUGUUUUAUUUGUAAGCUGAGCAGCAGUGUGUUGUCUUUAUUGCUUCUCCCAGCCCUAGAUAUUUUUUUUUUUGUUCUUUUUGGCUCUCAUUCCUGUAUUGCUUUUUCAGCAAAGGAGUGCCAAGCUACAGAGUGUCCUCCUUGUCCCACCAGUCAUAGCACAUACCAUCUCACACAUCUUGUCACCUUCCUGAGGCAAUGACUUAAGAUCUAUGAUGAGGAUUAUUUUUUGUGUUUGGGUAUUUUUUGGGGUUUUGUUUUGUGGGGUUUUGGUUUUGUUUUGGUGGUUUUUUUUUCGCAUGAUACCACUCUGUUACUGCUGUGAUUAGGAGUGCAACUGUACAGUUUCAGUGCUGCUCCACAGCUAGACUAAAGAUAUGGUAUCGUCAGCUUAGAAUUGCAUCUUCAGCAUUCCAGUAACUCACAUUCACACUCCCAGCUGCCAAAACCAGGAUGGGGUUUUACAUUCAGCCUUAGCUUAGAAUGGAAACCCAAGGGCUUUCUGCAUUAGGAAAGCAAGUCCUGGUAAGGAAAACUUCAACUGGGAAACCCAGUUACACAUUGUGGAGAGUUAACCCUGACUGGCACGCAAAUCCCUACUCUUGUUGUGCUAAGUUCCUUCCUCCAGCAAGAUAUGAGAGAGGAUUGGAAGGACAAAAGCACUGAGAUAAAGACAGAGAAUUAAGUAAAGGGGAAAAAAAGAAACCCAAACUGAUGCAAAGGUACUCACCACCUCCCACCAUUUUUGUUGCUGAGCAUGACACUAUGUUUGGAAUGGUUUUUUGGUCUGUUCAGGUCAGGUGUCCAGACUGUGCCCUCCUCCUCUUUUGCCCAACCCCAGCCUGCUCUGCUGGGGUGGUGGAGUGAGAAACAGAGAAAGCACUACUCAGUAACCAGUAAAACCUUGUGUUAUCAAUACUGUUUUGGUUGCAAGUCUAAAACACAGAACCAUUUGGGCUGCUGUGAAUAAAAUGAACUCCACCCCAGCCUAACCCAGUACACAGGUCCACUUACCCCAGACUCCUUGCAUUUCUGUACAGCACCUUCUCAGGGUGGUUACUUCUUUCUGAAAGGGCUUUUUUUGCAGCAGGCAGUUAGCCAGCUUCACAGUGCUCCCUUUCAUGGAGGGAACAGGGGAUGCUAGCUCUUACUCUUUCAGCACAAAAUGGGGAUAUAAAGCAAAAAUGAGCCCUUUCUGUAUCAGUGUUCUGGCAACUGAGCAGCCAGUGUUGGAGACAACAUAUUUAAUGUGCCCUCAGGGCAUGCACUUUAGCAGUUUGCUCUGAGUGGUUAUGAUGUAUUCUGUGAAUGUAUGUUAUAGAGUCAGAAUAAAAAUGCAUGUAGCAGACAUAUUCUCAUUGUCACCAUCCAGUGAUCAUUUUGUUCUGAGCGCGUAUUAUAUGCUGUAUUGAACAUGGCACGGUCAUUUUAAGAAACACUUAAGAUUUAAAAGUAGAUACCUAACAGCUUCCCUGUUUUUUAAAUCAUGGCUUUGCCUGUGCAGAUACUGUUUACUAAAUCUAAACAUGACUAGUCCAUUGUUUCUUGAACAGCUUGUGUAUCACAUUACUACCACAGAAAUCCCAUUUCAUCUUUGUGAAAAAACAAAGAACACACACACAAAAAACCCAAAUGAAAAAUACAACCCACCAAAACCCAAAACAAGACCCUUGUGUUUCCCAGAAGAAAACCCAACCGACCUAUUUGAAGCAUUUCUUGCACAGAGUUCAUUUGUUGGAGCGAUGGGAGUUAAAGUAUUUAAUUUUAAAAUGCUCUUUAGAUUAUCUAAUCUCUGCUGUUAUUUCCAUCACACACCAAGAGAUUAUGGAGACUAGUAAAUUUGUAUUUCUUGUGUUCUGUAACAAGUACCGUUCUCAAAGGUAUUACUUUAUGUAUAGAGAGAUGAGAGAAGGGGUAUCUCUUGUGAUGUGGGUCGUGUAUAAAAGACAGAAUUUCUGGUCUGGAAUGAAGCUGUGAUGUGUCUGCAAGCUGAUGCAAUCAAGCCAAAGCUCUUCAAAGACAUUAGGACUAAGAGAAUAUUCGUAGGGACAACAGGCAGCACAAAUACAUCUAAAAAUACCCACUGUGGGGCAAAGCUAUCUGGCAUUCAUUGGACUGACGUGUUUAAAAAGAACUAGCAGAAGCUGAUGACUCCUGAAACCCAGCAGAAGUUGGGCACUAAAUGGAGUUCCUGUGAAAUUAGUAAUUUUAAACUCUCAAAUAAGUACUAUGAGCCUUGGUUAGGUCCCACACUGCUCAAACUGAAGAGGGAGAGCAGCUCCCAUUAGAAAAAAGGGUCACAGACAGUGUGAUAGUAGUGUCUCCUAUGAGAGGGAGGAAGGAGAAAGUGGAAAGGCUGUUUUGUUUCUAAUGUAGGCCAGAAAGCAGCUGCCAGAGGUUAGGUGGAGCUAUGGAGAGCAGGCUUGCACGGGUAGAAAAUAACUCACAAGGUCUUUGCAAGUAGUUAAGAAAAUUCAUAUUCUCAUUCACAGACAUCUCACAGCAACAUCCCAUGUUUUAAUUUUGCUCUGGAGAUCUUCAGAGCAAGAAAAAAAAGGUGAAAUUCUGUACCUAUAGAAAGGAUUCUUUCAAUAUGAUGUAUUGUGUUGCUGAUGAUAGCAGCUGCCCAAAGCAAAGAAAAUAAAAUCUUUUGAACAGAUUUUAAAGGCUUGACAGUAUUUGCAUUGUCAUAGUCCAUCAAAGCUUCAUCUGGAAAUAAGUUUUUCAUCCUCUUUUCAUUCAUACUUCUAACAGGGCAAUCAAACCCUUGGACUGGCUUAGUGUUUUACAUUGAACCAAGAUCAACUAACAAGUGCUCCUUUUUCCAGUGGAAUGCCACCUCCUUUGGGAAAUGGGAAAAGUAAUUGUGACACUGUUUAUUGUUGUCUUGAGAACGUGAGAUGUUCCAUACUGCAAGCUGUGUAUGCAGGAAGAGAAGGGAAAUUAACAGUGCUGAUCUAAUCUUAGAUUUUCUGUGUAAACUGACAUUGUGCCAGGAUACUGAUGCAAAACUGUAUUUUAGUCUAAGAAAUGUAUAGAUUUUUUAAUGUAUCAAAAUAAAGUUUUUCUUUUUAAGUAAGAAA